rnacentral:rRNA from 1 species
UCUGCCUAUUAGUGGGGGACAACAUUCCGAAAGGGAUGCUAAUACCGCAUACGCCCUACGGGGGAAAGCAGGGGAUCUUCGGACCUUGCGCUAAUAGAUGAGCCUAAGUCGGAUUAGCUAGUUGGUGGGGUAAAGGCCCACCAAGGCGACGAUCUGUAGCGGGUCUGAGAGGAUGAUCCGCCACACUGGGACUGAGACACGGCCCAGACUCCUACGGGAGGCAGCAGUGGGGAAUAUUGGACAAUGGGGGGAACCCUGAUCCAGCCAUGCCGCGUGUGUGAAGAAGGCCUUUUGGUUGUAAAGCACUUUAAGCGAGGAGGAGGCGCUCUAGGCUAAUACCCUAGAUGCGUGGACGUUACUCGCAGAAUAAGCACCGGCUAACUCUGUGCCAGCAGCCGCGGUAAUACAGAGGGUGCGAGCGUUAAUCGGAUUUACUGGGCGUAAAGCGCGCGUAGGUGGCUAAAUUAAGUCAAAUGUGAAAUCCCCCGAGCUUAACUUGGGAAUUUGCAUUCGAUACUGGUUAGCUAGAGUAUGGGAGAGGAUGGUAAAAUUCCAGGUGUAGCGGUGAAAUGCGUAGAGAUCUGGAGGAAUACCGAUGGCGAAGGCAGCCAUCUGGCCUAAUACUGACACUGAGGUGCGAAAGCAUGGGGAGCAAACAGGAUUAAAUACCCUGGUAGUCCAUGCCGUAAACGAUGUCUACUA